GAAGAACAGAAGACUUGAGUAGGGCGGGACACGUGCAAUCCUGUCUGAACAUGGGGAGACCACUCUCCAAGCCUAAGUACUCCUCAGCGACCGAUAGCGAACAAGUACCGUGAGGGAAAGGUGAAAAGCACCCCGACGAGGGGAGUGAAAUAGUUCCUGAAACCGGAUACUUACAAACAGUAGGAGCCCAAGGUUCGUCCUGGGUGACUGCGUACCUUUUGUAUAAUGGGUCAGCGACUUAAAGUAACGAGCAAGCUUAAGCCGAUAGGCGUAGGCGCAGCGAAAGCGAGUCUGAAUAGGGCGUUCAGUUCGUUGCUUUAGACCCGAAACCGAGUGAUCUAGCCAUGAGCAGGUUGAAGGUGCGGUAACACGCACUGGAGGACCGAACGGGGUGUCUGUUGAAAAAAGACUCCGAUGACUUGUGGUUAGGGGUGAAAGGCCAACCAAACUCGGAAAUAGCUGGUUCUCCGCGAAAUCUAUUUAGGUAGAGCCUUGUGUGAAUACCGUAGGGGUAGAGCACUGGAUGGGCUAGGGGGGUCCCACGAGACUUACCAAACCUAACC
rnacentral:rRNA from 1 species